rnacentral:rRNA from 1 species
CACGGGGGGAGCAAGCGUUGUCCGGAAUCACUGGGCGUAAAGGGCGCGUAGGCGGCUUCUCAAGCGUGUGGUGAAAGUCCGGGGCUCAACCCCGGAUCGGCCGUGCGGACUGGGGAGCUCGAGUUCUGUAGAGGCGGGUGGAAUUCCGGGUGUAGCGGUGGAAUGCGUAGAGAUCCGGAAGGACACCGGCGGCGAAGGCGGCCCGCUGGGCAGAGACUGACGCUGAGGCGCGACAGCGUGGGGAGCAAACAGG